GCCACUAGAAUGGUGGGUAAUACUGUAUAAUCCCCGCGGGGGAAAGAUUUAUCGCUAUUGGAUGAGCCUAUGUUAGAUUAGCUAGUUGGUGGGGUAAUGGCCUACCAAGGCUGUGAUCUAUAGCUGGUCUGAGAGGAUGAUCAGCCACACUGGAACUGAGAUACGGUCCAGACUCCUAUGGGAGGCAGCAGUGGGGAAUAUUGGACAAUGGGCGCAAGCCUGAUCCAGCUAUGCCGCGUGAGUGAGGAAGGCCUUAGGGUUGUAAAACUCUUUCAGUAGGGAAGAUAAUGACGGUACCUACAGAAGAAGUCCCGGCAAACUCCGUGCCAGCAGCCGCGGUAAUACGGAGGGGGCAAGCGUUGUUCGGAAUUAUUGGGCGUAAAGGGCAUGUAGGCGGUUUGGUAAGUUAAAAGUGAAAUGCCAGGGCUCAACCUUGGAGCUGCUUUUAAUACUGCCAGACA
rnacentral:rRNA from 1 species